UGUGUUUUUUUAUAAAAACUAAAGUAGUAGUUACUUUGUUUUAUGAUUUUAGUUUUAACAGUAAUAUUUUUAGUAAGUUAUUCUAUGACUGAACUGUUUAUAGACUUGGUUUUUUUAGCAUACAAAGAAAGUGAAAAGUAACGUGAGUGAACGGUGAAAAGAUUUUUAAAAGAUUUUGAAAUUCAGUGUUUUUAUUACUUAAAGCGAAUGCGUUAAGGUACCUUUUGUAUAAUGGACUGACAAGUUAAUACAUCAUGUAUGAAUUUUAUCUUAAUUAAUUUAUGUAAUAUGUUGUAUUAGACUCGAAGCUAGCCGAUCUAAUAAUGAACAGGUGUUAGACCGAACCCGUGGAUGUUGCAAAAUCCUGGGAUGAUUUAUUAUUAGGGGUGAAAGGCCAAUCAAGGUUAGUGAUAGCUAGUUCUCCGUGAAAUGUAUUUAAGUACUACCUUUAUUAGAUAGGGCGGGGUAUGGUUAUUUUGUAAUUCAUAAAUUACGAAAAAAACCUAAUACGCCCUUAACUAAUAAGGAGCCAGACUUUGCGUGUUAAGGCGCGGAGUCGAGAGGGAAACAGCCCAGACCCGAAAUUAAGGUUGUUAAAUUAGGUUAAAUUAAAUGAGGGGUUUGUACGGUUAACCUAAAAAGUAAACUUGAAAGUAGUUAUCUAUUUAAGAGAGUGUAACAACUCAUUGGGUUAUAUAAGUAAUGAUAGAUUUCUACUCUGUACCACACUCAAAUAAUGUUUGCAAUUAUACCUAAUACCGAAAUACGGGGCUUGACGGUAACGGAGUGACGGAUAACUGUUUGAAGAUUAUUUGAAAAAAUAAUUGGAUAUAUUUCGUUCAAUAAUGUCAGUACGAGUAGUGUAAAGUACUUCGUGCGAAUCGGUACGGCCGAAAAAUUUAAAGUUUCGCUGCAAGGGAUAUCCACAGCGUAAAAAUCAGUCCUUUUUAUUUAGAAUAAUUUUAAAAUAUAUAGGUUAACUAUUUAAAGAUUAAUGGUGAGCGUUGUUUAACGUUUUAUAUCGUUUAACAAAACAGCACUACCACUAACAAGAAAUAAUUAAAUCGUCUUGUACUGUAUUAAAACCAACACAGGUAAUUAGAUAGAGUAUAUUAAGGCUUUGAGUGAAAGUGGCUGAAGGAACUCGGCAAAUUGGUCUUGUAACUUCGGGAUAAGGGACUCUUAGUUUUUAUUAACUAAGAAUCAUAAAAUUGGGGGUGGCGACUGUUUACUAAAAACACAGGACUCUGCUAAACGUAAUGUGUUGAUUAGAGUCUGACACCUGCCCAGUGCUGUAAGGUGAAAUGUAGUCUAAGACUCUAUAAACCCCAGUAAACGGCGGCUGUAUUCCUGACGGUCCUAAGGUAGCGAAAUUCAUUGGCGAUUAAUUGUCGUCCUGCAUGAAUGGUGUAACGACUGCCCCACUGUCUCCAGUCACCGCUCGACGAAACUAAACUAUAGGUGAAAAUGCCUAUUUUUUUUAACGGGACGGAAAGACCCUAUGCACCUUUACUAGAACCAUAUUUAUGGUAACUUUAUAUAGGCUUACGACUUCCGAACCUAUAUAAAUUUAACCCCUGCUAUAAAAAGUUUACCAGUUUUUUAGUAUGGAUGCUAGUUUAACUGGGGUGGUUGUCUUCUAAAUAGUAUCGAAGACGAGUAUAAGGUUUAUUAUUAACUUAAUAGUAAAUAAAAAAACCAAAAUCCUUCACAGAUAAGUUAAGGAUUAGUUCAUAAGCUUAUUAUAGUGAUCCGUUAUAGGGCAAUGAUAGUCGAUAACGAUAAACAGAUAAAAGGUACGCUAGGGAUAACAGGCUAAUAGUUUCUUAGAGUUCAUAUCGACGAGACUGUUUGGCACCUCGAUGUCGGCUCAUCACAUCCUGGUUGUGAAUAAUCUUCCAAGGGUUGGUCUGUUCUACCAUUAAAGUGGUACGUGAGCUGGGUUUAGAACGUCGUGAGACAGUUUGGUCCCUACCUGUUAAAUUAAACAAAAGUGAUAGACUCUUACUCCAGUACGAGAGGACCGAGAAGGACUGGCCUAUGGUUAGUAAUUGUUUUUCGAAUAAGCAUGUUAUUUAGCUAAGCCAGGACCCGAUAAUUUUAUUUUAAAUAAAGAAACGGCGCUAUCUACUUUUAAUAAAAUAUAGAGUAGAUAACUCUCAAUACGUAGGUUUUAUAGUAGCGAUACGAAUUACCCCUACGUAGUAUUUUAUUUUAACUCAUACCUAAG
rnacentral:rRNA from 1 species